rnacentral:misc_RNA from 1 species
CUAAGUUCAUUUUUCCCCUAAGCCUAAUGGGUUACAUAGGUGUUAAACAUGGCAAUAAGUGAAUUUUUGUUAACUGAUGGUUAUCACAUGCGUCCAUAUGUACCGUUAAGUAGACAAUCACGAAGGGAAUUUAAUCGUCCGCAACAUUCAAAUAGUUAUAUUGUACAAGAUGUGGGGAAAUUUUCAUUUAUUAUGGUGUACAUAUAUCAACAAAAUUGGUAAUUAAGAAAAAAGGGGCAGCCUCUGCUCCCCUGAGGCAUAUGAGAUGAUGCUCCUCUUAAGCGGUGAUAUGUGGUGUGCACCAUGAAAAGCAGCAGCACGCAAUAUAUUUAAUGGCCCAAAAUCAACCGAGUAUGCCUUCUGGAAACCAUCCAAAAUGGCCAUCAUAGUCACAUUUGCUGGUUUCCUCUCCGCUUCAUAUUUUUUCAACAGUGAUACCUCCCCUAUGUCCAUGCCUACAGCAAUACCCUCAGCAAUGAUUCUUGAAAGGGCAAAUGCAUCUCCGAAACCCAAGUUAACUCCUUGCCCAGCUAAUGGAUGAACUGCAUGUGCUGCAUCACCAAUUAGAACAACACGUCUUGAUGCAUAGUCCUUCGCAUGCAUUAAGGACAGUGGAAAUGCCAUCCUAGCAGAAGCCAACUUGACCACUUUAGGCGGAACUUCAAAAGAAUCAUUCGCUGAAAUUACCAGAUUUCCUCCAAGCCAUGAAAACAUGUCUGCACUGGCCAAUAAACUUGACUUUGGAUGAGGACCAUAUCCAUAAUCUAGAGCAUGAUUUACAGCUUUCACAAAAUCAUCCUCAUUCAUUGAUUUACAAUCUGCUGCUUCCUUUGGGUUCAUAGUCCAGACAAUAUUGCUAAACUUAUCACCCAUUGGCAAAAGUGCAAUUGGACCUCCUGGUAGAAAACGUUGCCAUGCACACUGAUUUUCUACAGAAUGCUCUACGGUGCAGAUGACUGCAUUUUGUGAGUAGUUCCACCCAGUUGUUUUAAAUCCUGCUAACUGUCUAACUUGUGACUUAGCGCCAUCAGCUCCCACCUGUUUAUAAUUAUCAGUGAUGCAUUUUCUAGCAGCUCUCAUCCAUAAUUAAAUUUCUAGAUUAUCUCAUCUAAAUUAUUUUCAGAAGGGGUAAAAACUCCUGUGGCACAAAAGUUUAAUUACCACCAACUUUGCAUAUAGGCUGCUGCCAUCGCUCAGUUCCAGCUUUGCUAAACAUCCAUUAACGUAUGAUGCUUCCGUUGACAAUGAACUUUCCACUGUAGAUGAAGAGCUUGGAUGUAGAGACAUCAAAGUUAAUCGAGAAGGGUGGAUUGUCUUUUGGAAAUCAGUAUCCUGUAGGAUUAACUUCUUAGUUUCUGAAAUUGCAAGCAAUAAAAAGAACAACACCUUUAUGGUAUGCAGAAUUAUGGGCUCAGUUUGUUGAUGCAUCAGCAAGAAAAGUAGGAGUUCUGUAUCCAUCAACUGUUCACCAGAGGAUAACACACAAUACAAGGGAAUAUGCAAGAAUAUGGACAAGCCUGCAAUACAUAGAUUACUAUCUUGACAUUUAAUAAUUCUCAUUGAUUAUUAUCUGGCCCAGGAAGAGUUAAUCAUAUACAGAAGGUUUUAAGAUAGAAUUCACAAAUGAAGAUAUGACUUUCAGGUUUGCACAAUACAAAUAUAUUACACACUGGAGGAGCAAUAUGAGAGUAAAGGAAUUAUAAGGAAAGAUCCAAGGAUAAAGAGAUUCAAGAAAAGCACAACUACUUGUCACACAGAAUGAUGAAACUUCACAUAUUUGAUGUGUGAUGAGAUCUUACACAAACAUGUAAGCAGAUAAUAAUAUGUUUAAUACUUAUUUUGGUCCAAUGAUUCGGCUAUAUUUCUGGAAGUAGUCUUCCUCUAUCUCAUAAACUCCUACACCACCCUAUAGUUUAUAAUGUUUAAUAAUUUUACUUAUGAAGAAUAAUUAAAAUAAUAUUACCAACAACAAAUCUGAAAAAAAAAAAAAUUCCUUGGAAAGAAAACCCCAAAACAAAUGUAAUAUAGAGUCCAAGAAACAGACAUUUGAAGUAAGGAAAUUCCCAAAAUGAAUAUAAUUCUAUCCAAAAGAUAACAUAUUCUUCCACAAACUCUAGAAGUUUCAUCGAGUAUAAUGAAACAGUUUAAUCAAGUAGAAUACCUCAACACGUGAGAAUAGUGAACUGUGAAGCACUUUAUUCUCCACUACACAACCCAAGACAUCUUUAUUUACAUCUUUUGCAUUGUACUUCGUGUAUCCUAAGCCAGUGUAAUCCCAAACCUGCAAUUUAUCAAAAUAUGCAUGCCGAUGCUGUUGUACAUAUUGCCAAGCACCUACAUCUUUGAAAAGAGAUAUAGUUGCUGGUGUGACUGUACUAACCCUUGGAUCAGGUGGGUCCUCUUUCUUGAUGCUUACUUUACUCCCUAAAGAAGGAUUGCUGUCAAUGAUGGCAACAUUCAAAUGCUUUGUCAAUGGUGUGGUUGCCAAGGAACAAGCAAGGGCCAUGCCAACCAUGCCUCCCCCAACAAUAGCAAUGUCAUAUGGGUGAACUGUAUGAGUAAAGCUCUGCUUGUCCUCAUGUAUCUACAAAGUCAAGGAAUACAAUUACAUGCAAGAUUGUACUUCUCCCAAAAGAACUGAAAAUCCUUGAAGAAAGUAAUAGCACCAAGCGCAUAAAUACAAGCAGUAAGCAUUUGUGAAAGGAAUACAAGCUACACUAAACUCUAAACAUUACUGGAAAAAAAGGGAGGAUCACUCAUCAUUAUAAGGAGCUAUGGCAUAAACAAAAUUCACGAACAAGAGCUAGAAAACUAUAGCAUUGCUGUAAAGAAGGGGGAAAAAAAAAGUAUUAACUCCUAAACUCACCUAUUGCAACUCUAUCCAUUAUGCAAUCCUCUUUUUGUGACUAUGGCCUACAUGUAACCUUUCAUCAUAGGACUAAUCUAAUGCCCAUUUACCACCUCAUUUAGUAGUUCAAAGUUUAAAGGCAAAAAAUAAGCCCAAUGGUUAUUCCACAAACAGGAAGAAUAAAGAAUUGCCUCUAUUGGAAUAACAAAAUUACAGAGUUAUUCAUAUUUGGCAUCAUUAUCUCAGAGUCACUUGUUAACCUAAUCUCAUGAUAUGAUGAGAUAAGCUCUGCCUCUACAAGAAAACUCUAAAAAAUCAGAUAACCAUCAUAAGAGAAAUGAAAUCAAGUUUCGGCCUAGAAAAAGAAGCAAGAGCACCAAUUCCAGCCGAAAUUUAAUCACAACAGAAUUAC